AGACCCGGAAAUAAUGUGAAAUAAGGAAAAUUAGCUGGUUUAUUUAAGAAAUACGUGAAGAUUUUUCACCAGCUUAGUUACUUCAGUAUUGUUUAAGACAGAAUACAAGAUGGAAAAGUUUGGCUUCCUUUCAUUUGUUUUCUUCUGUUGGAUUUCAUCUUGUCAAGGAAAAAUUCUAUCACCUCCUCCUGGCACAAGUUUUGCAUUUUUACCUGGAGAAACACACAAUAUAACCUGGACAUUUGAUGAUGAUUUAAAUGAUGUGGCCAGUAGAGAUUGGUUUUUUACGGGUAGUAGUAAUGGUUCACAAUCAACACUGUUGGCCACUGCCUUUCUGGAUUUGCCAUUGAUAAAACUCAAUGCACCAAUUCUUCCAAAUUAUGACGUCUAUAAACCUUCAACGCUGCGAUUAAGAAAUAUCACUCAUAGUUAUGAUGGAACGUAUGAGUUUCGAUUAACAAGAAAGGACAGUCUGUUAUCUCCUUUUAUAUCUGAAGUCAGAGUUU